AUGGGCCGCUGGCUGUUGUUCCCAGGCCUCCUAAAUAAAGGGGGUACCCUGAUCAGUCAGGAUCUCCACUGGGAUGCCGACUCGGCUGGAGAGCAGGAAGAGUUCCUGGGCAAUGGCUUUGGCGGUGGCUUUUCGGAGGGGAACUGCCUCUGGGUACCGGGUGGCAUAGUCGACAAUCACCAGGAUGUGUUUAUGUCCCCAGGCAGACUUAGGCAAUGGCUCCACAAGGUCCAUCCCGAUGCGCUUGAAGGGCACCUCGAUGAUGGGCAGGAUGUUUUGGACGACGAAAUGUGGGAGAGGGUGGGGGCCAGGCUAAGCUUCCUUGUUCGAGGCAAGAAGAACGGGGCGCUGUCGAGGUCCUUUCGUGGGCCUCCGUAUUCGGCGGCCCCCUCUUGGGCUGGCAGGCUGCGUAGCUGUGGCCAGGCGCUGGAAGCGGCAGAAAUGGUCACUCUGUUGUGUAUCUCCAUGGACACAGGUUAUGGGGAGGAAGGUUUUAUACUCCAUUCGUGGGGCAAGAAUGUGAGACUGUACCAAAGUGACUGCACUGCCGGAGUCCAGGAUGGCCUGGAACCGUUUCCCAUUUAUUUUCACAUCCAUUUCUGGCGCUCCAACCGGCAGGUCGCAGUGCACAAUACAGCCUAUCAGCCAGGUCAGUGCAGGAAGCACGGGGGCCUCUGUUGGCAUGGGCUCAUCCCGCGGAGAGGGAGCCGCCUGCCUGCUUAUUGGUCGCUGGUUGCCCUCUGGUGCACGUCACUCCUGGACCACCCUCCAGGGAAACGGCGGCGCUCACUCCCCAGCAUCCCGAUGUUGGGUCGCAUCAACCGGCUCGACAGCCUCCAUGAGCUCCGAGGUGGUGGUUGGGUUCCUCAUCCCAACUGCCUGCCGGUGAGAUCGGGGAAGGCCUUGGAGAAGUCGGUCUAUCACGACACUUUCUGCCACCUGACUAGCCGAUGGAGCCCCCUCCAGCAGCCAGUGCUGCGCGAGUCACGUGAGUUCGGCAGCCUGGGCACGGGCCGGCAGACAGGGGUUAUAUAUUGA
ensembl:lncRNA